rnacentral:rRNA from 1 species
UACCUGGUUGAUCCUGGCA